GGUAAUGUCUACUACACCUUUAUCCAUGUAGGCACUCGGUCAUGCUGUGGGUGAUUCGACCUUAGACGUAUAUCGUCGAGGGUAUGGCGUGAGGAUGGGUUGAAUGCCC
rnacentral:ncRNA from 1 species